GUUUGUGGGAACUGGGGGCGGGUGGGAGGCUUAACCCAAUGAAAAUCAGUUGUAUUAGGAAAUAUCAACCUUAUCCCGUUCGCUACUCGAUGUAACUAAACUCUCGUUUUUCUUUACGCCUCGAACAAACACGAACAUGAUUUCUAUGAAAUUGCCUGGUCCCUUUGUGCCAGUAACGCAGACGACUUGCAGGACUCCCUGAAACACAGACACAUCCCUUUAAUAAAAUGAAUUGCAAUAAUGAGCAAAUGGGAACAUUGGCAGAUAUGACACUGUUAUACCCAAAACUGGUUUCUCCCUUCAUCAGAUAAAUCAGUGGCGUUGCUAAAACGUUCCAGGCUGCAAGAAGAUCCACACGGUGGAAUUGUAAAAGUUGGAACUCAAAGCUCGAGCUUCAGGACAUUUACAGACCUGCCUUCCUUGCGCCAAUGUUCCUUCCCUUCCUGCCUCCAAACUCCAACCAACAGGAAAGUGGAAAGACGCAGCCCAAUUUUUCCAUUUACAGUCCACACAUUCCAGUUGCUGUAGAUAUGGGACUUUUGGAUCUUGUAGCUGCGCAGCGCCUGGGCAUUUGCACCAAGUUCUAAAACCAGCCAGGAUUUGUCCUUUCUUCAAAAUUGGAAACCAAUACUCCAGCUGAUAACAUAGGCAAACCUACUUUCCCAAUGUACUGGAAAAAUGAGAAUCUGGUUCCUCGUGCAGAGGGGAACAAGUUGGAUUCUGUAGGGGUUUCUGGAGGAAAGGUGAUGUCCCAAGAUAAGCAGAUCCCCAGGGGAGCAUCCCGGCGCUUGAAUGUCAAAAGUCCUCACAUGAUGUCUCACUCAGAUGAUGAAAAUAUGCCAUGUAGUUUGGAGAAAGAGGACCACUCUUCACCCAGCCCUCCCUCCACCCCUUCUGUGUGCUCACCCCCAUCCUCCUCAUCCUCAGUCCCAUCAGAUGGAAAGAACAUCUGCUCCAGCUGUGGCUUGGAAAUCCUGGACAGAUAUUUGCUUAAGGUGAAUAAUCUGAUCUGGCAUGUCAGGUGCCUAGAAUGUUCCGUGUGCAGAACCUCCCUGAGACAACACAAUAGCUGCUAUAUCAAAAACAAGGAGAUAUUCUGCAAAAUGGAUUAUUUCAGCCGGUUUGGUACAAAGUGUGCACGUUGUGGCAGACAGAUUUAUGCCAGUGACUGGGUACGGAGAGCCAGGGGAAACGCCUACCACCUUGCCUGCUUUGCUUGCUAUUCAUGUAAAAGACAACUGUCAACAGGGGAAGAGUUUGGCCUAGUGGAAGAAAAAGUUCUUUGUAGGAUCCAUUAUGACACCAUGAUAGAAAACCUCAAGCGGGCAGCAGAAAAUGGUAAUGGGAUUACACUAGAAGGAGCUGUCCCAUCCGAACAAGACAGCCAGCCAAAGCCAGCCAAAAGAGCACGCACAUCCUUCACAGCAGACCAGCUGCAGGUCAUGCAAGCACAAUUUGCUCAGGACAACAAUCCCGAUGCACAAACACUCCAAAAACUUGCAGAUAUGACAGGGCUGAGCAGAAGAGUCAUCCAGGUCUGGUUUCAGAACUGCAGGGCGCGGCAUAAAAAGCACACACCUCAGCACGCAAUGCCUCCUCCUGGCCCUACACCAACACGCAUUUCAUCUUCAUUGUCAGAUGACCUUCACUUCUCCCCUUUCAGCAGUCCUGAAAGAACAAGGAUGGUAACUUUGCAUGGAUACAUAGAAAGUCAAGUACAGUGUGGGCAGAUGCACUGUAGACUUCCCUAUGCUGGGCCUCCUGUGCACCUCAAAGCUGACAUGGAAGCAACAUUGUCUAACAGAGGGGAUAAGGUCAUUCUUUUUCAGUACUAACCAACAAGAUACUGCACCAUCCUCAGCAACUUUAUCCUCUGUACUAUUACUGCAAAGGAUGAAAGGGACUACUACUCAUCUGGUUCAAUUUAGGGAACAGCACUUUGUGCCUUGGCACCGAGUUUCCAUUGGCACAACUCACAAACUGUUUCUCUCAAAUGUGGGAAAUGUCUCAGAUAUGGAAUAAGUGCAGUCAUACAUAUGAACAGCAAAAGAAUGCUUCACUAAAUUUUACUAAAGGCAAAAUGAUAAAUUCUCUGAAGCCUAAAAAGGUCUGGCACAAUCUUUCUUACAAGGUGAUAUUCACUAAGAUGAAAACACAAUGCAAUGCUUAACAGACAUUUCUUUGCAGAAAUAUGGAACCCGAGUCUGCUUCUUGCAGCUUGAGCAUUCAGCCCAGGACUGCUAGAAGACAACCAAUGAACUCUGUUUAACGGUGGCAGAAAGACAGAGAUGGGUUGUGGGAAACACAUCUCUAUAUGAAAUGAAGUUCAUACAUUCAACUUGGUUUUUCUUAUGUAUGGGUAAUCGUAAGCCAAGGAACACGUGCAGUGUGAAUAGCAUGUCAAUAAUAUGCAGUCAUUUUGCCUUGGUACCUGAACUAUUCACGUCAUAUGAACAAAACCAAAACCUCUGAAGUUUAUCAUCAUUAUGCUGUUACUUACAAAAAAAUCCUCAUGUUUCAACACAAAGACUUUCUUAACUGAACAAAUUUAUUUUCAUGAGUUGAUGGUAACAUUUCUUUCUUAACAUCAAUGUACGUAAAUUGACAAAAAACCCAAAUUUAUUAUUUAUUCAUAAAAAAAAAAUGUGUUGGCACUUUUUAAAAGCAAAUGUCUGUUUUUUUAAAUAUUCUUUAAAUGUUGUGCAAUGUAAAUGUCCAAUUUAUGUACUAAAUAAAAUUUACCUAAAUUAAUUUUUUUCCCCACUUAUUCACACAAGACUGCAUCUUAUUCUAAGGCACAGGGCCAGAGCUGAAAAUUGCAUCCGCAAGAUAUAGUUCAAUAAUCAGCACUCCCCAAAAUCCCAAAAAUGAUAAAGAAGCACAUAUUGUAAUGACCAACUGCCUUCACAUGCAAUAUCAGUAGAAUAGUUGAUAGCAUCAUAGACAAUGUUUCAGGCUGCCAUAAGCCUUUAAUCCAGCUACACAUACUAACAAGACACAAUUAUAGUCAGUUACCCUUUAAGUUACUGCUACAUACACAUCAUUAAUCAAUCAUCAUUAAUAAUUUUAAUAAAGGUUAAAAACAGGUUUGUUUCCAAACAGCCCAAAAAAUUUGCCCAUACGGUCUUUUUUUAAAAAUGUUUUUAUUAUCAUUAUUUAAAAAGUUGGAGCUUACUAGAAUUGUACAGAGCUUUGCAAAACUUCUUGCCUUCUCCAUUCGAUCAAGAUCGUUGCGAAAGGGCAAGCAUUCUGCCUGGAACAUUGUAUGGGAUCUUUCCUAAUAAACCUCUCUCCUGCCCCAGCUGUCAAUUCCCUACAGCUAAUUUCUUACAUGUAAUAUGGUCUUGUCCACAAAUUGUAAAAUUUUGGCAGAAAGUUGUUAGAUGUCUCAGUGAUAACCUGGCUUUGCCCCAAGUUAUCUGUCACGGUCGGUACCCAACACCAGAACAAAUGCCAAGCACCCUGGUCUCGGCUCGCGCUUCACCUGU